rnacentral:rRNA from 1 species
UACGUAGGUGGCAAGCGUUGUCCGGAAUUAUUGGGCGUAAAGCGCGCGCCAGGUGGUUUCUUAAGUCUGAUGUGAAAGCCCACGGCUCACCGUGGAGGGUCAUUGGAAACUGGGGAACUUGAGUGCAGGAGAGAAGAGUGGAAUUCCACGUGUAGCGGUGAAAUGCGUAGAGAUGUGGAGGAACACCAGUGGCGAAGGCGACUCUUUGGCCUGUAACUGACACUGAGGCGCGAAAGCGUGGGG